AUGUGAUUUUAGGUGUUUAUAGUGUUAUUCGAAUUUUGGGGAAUUUUGCAGAUUUUUGGAUAAAUCUGACAGAUUUUUAAAGUGCAUUUAGCAGAAUUUGGCCAUGACCUUACGGUCUACCCGAUGUGCAGUGCCGCGCCGGUAAAGUUUGACUGACUUUGAGUUGAGUUUAUAGUGGAGCGAAAGGGACCUGCGAUUUCUUGUCGACGAUUCAGAACCAUUUGUCAGCAUGCCGAAAGUUAAAAUCAGCGUUUUGUAUUGCGGUGGAUGAGGGUACCGCUCCAAGUUUAUUAACCUGAAGAUGGCAUUAAACGACGAGUUUGAGGCGGACCAGAUGGACAUUGUUGGCGAGUCCACUCCUAAUAUAAGUGGUUACCUGGAGGUCUCUGUCAAUGGUCAGCUGGUCCACUCCAAGAAGAAUGGAGAUGGCUACAUUGGCAGUGACGCCAAGAUGAAGAAGAUAUUUGAUGCUGUGGGUGCUGCCAUGAAGGCAUAAGAUGGCCACAGCUACGCCAGAAUCAAAUGGACUCGACAUUUCAAAGUGGAUGGGCCUGUUUAUGACGGGACAAGCUUAAACGUGACUACCCUCACAAGGCUUGUUCUUGAUGCUGUACUAGGAGCAUCCGCUGGGACAUGUGGACUAGAGUUUGGUUCUGGUACCAAAACAAAUGAAUUUACUAUAAGAUGUUCAGCACUAAGACACUUUUGUAAUAUGCACAAAUUAUUUCUUCAGUUUAACUGCCUACUUCCAACAUGGUGUCCUCUGUACCAGGGACCACCAUCUAAAUGAUAAACCGUGAAAAGUGAUAUUUUUCACCAAAGCCACAUUCCCAUUGGACUUUUUUUCCACGGCCAUGCGGAGACUUAACGCGGCAUUUCUUUGCGUAAGUCUACCGUGUGUUCCGACUCAGACUUUUUAUUUUUUAAAGCCGAUGGAACGUUUACUCAAUCUGGCAGAAUGCCCCUGAUAACUUACCGUGGCUGCAGGGGUAAUCUUCUAUGACCACUUUCGGCCUGGUAGUUUUACAUCGCUGUCGCGGUAAGUUGACAGGGAGGUUAGUUUACCAUUCGUCCCCAUUGUCACUCUUCAGGGAAGUCAAGGUAUUAAAAGUCCAGUGGGAACAUGGUUUAUUUUAAUUUUUUGUGCAGGUGUUUAGCUUGGUUAUUACACUUUUCAUUUACAGUCGAGUCUCGUUAAUACAAACUCGUUCGGACCUAGCCAAAUUGUUUGUUAUAUCAGAAUUUUGUAUCAAGAGGAACAUCAGUCCCAUUCAUUGUGCACAUAAAUGCACAGUCGGGACUAAGACUUUAUGUUUGCUAUAACCAGAAUUUUGUAUUAACAGAGUUUGUACUAACGAGAUUCAACUGUAAAUGGUUUGGUACAUUUUAUUUAGGCAACUACACCAACUAUUUUUUUGUUCAAGGUAUUCGGCUUCAGCCGAGUGCCAUAUAAGCUUUACCACUCGGGCGAACUGCAGUUUUUAAACAUAUCCAGUAUUGGAUAUAUUUAAUAUAUAUUGACAUCAUUUUUGUAAGAACAAAUAAACGUAUUUUAGAUAUUUCUUGAUGCUAAUGUUUGGUCAAGUUUAUCAAUGUUAUCACAAGCCUUUGUAGCAAAUUGGAAGGUUUUCUUUUUCCUUUCUUUGAAUCAUAAAAAAGUAGUUUUUCCCCUAGUUAUUCAAAUCUCAUUCCAAGCAUAAUUUUCUUGUCAAGCGUCUUGAAGUUACCCUUUCUUCAAAGAACAUUAAUGCAAAAUUUCCAGUUGGGGAACUCAGAUAUGACUUCUUCUAUCUUGCUCUCAUAUCAUAUGAGAAAUGAAACGUUCUGAUCUUAAAAUGUGCGACUAAAAAAAUGAGACUAAAAAUGUGACUUUUCAUGUUGCUAAAAUAUCAACGGUCUAUCAAUUUGCAACUGUUCAGUUGUGCUUCCAAGUUGAGAUGUUUGCCUAGUAAAAUUUGAACUUAUGUUACAGGAGGAAAUCAUCACUUUUAGAAGAUUCACAGAUAAAUUAUAUUUGCAAUUUAUUAUUCAAACCGCAAUUGAAGCAGCUGUACUAUGAGAAAUUAUGCAAUCUAUUUCUUACUUUCGUUGACCAAUAAAAAGGACUCGGUGUGGUGAAAA